AGCCUGGCUGUUUGGUAUAACCUGUAAAUAUAUUAUUAUGGUACAUGUGUAUUGUUGGUUGGUUCAGUGUUGCAGUGUGUAUAGAUGUCGCCAUCUGCUGGGGAAACUGUGUAAUUCCUGAAAUGUUUUUUGCCUGAUCUCUCUUCAACCAGGAAACAUUUCAGUCCGGUUUUUAUGAGAAGCUCCUGACAUUUUUAAAGAAUCCGUGCAGAUAAAAGGCUGUAAAACCAUUUUUGUGGUCGUGUGUUUAUUAUUUAAGUAGAGUUACCACAAUUAGAAUAUAUUUUACAGAUCUGUAGAUGUUUACCAGGGAAAAUUAUUCUGAUUCAAAUAAGAAGCUGAAGUAAACGUGAGUUUUUCAACCGUCCCCACUUUUCCCUUUAAUAGCGCCCAUAUGUAUACUUUAUUCAAUAAUAUAAUACUAAUUCUGUGAAUAAAGAGAAAGUCGCAAAACACGAAUCUAAAAAGCCACCGCUAGUAAAAUCUUCAGGUAAAAUAAAUACACUGAAUAACAAGGUUAUGACGAGACCAGUGAAUAUCUUUCAUGUUAUAAAAGUAAAAGUAUAAAAAAUAUCUUACUGUUAUGCACUGAGACGACAUCCAGCCGCACCCUGGCGUGUGAAAACAAAAUCGAAAGCAGAUCACGAAACCGCACUGACACGUAAUUUCGACACGAUAGGCGGGUUCGGGGUUUAAUCUUAACUAAACGUAAAGAAGUUCUGCUUAAAAUCUAACUUGAAUACAGAAUCUCCAGACAUGUGUAAUUACACUUAGUUAAGAAGGACUGUUUUUCUCCAGGUUCUCCAUAACUGUGUGUGGGUACGUGCCCUGUGGUUCGGUCCUGGGAGUCCUGUGGAGACAAGUUAUAACAAGUGGAAUCUGAAGGAGAAGAAUUUGCACCGUUCCUGUGGAGGAAGAGGAGCCGCACUGAGAACUGUUCAGGAGGGGAGAGGACGAUUCUUUACAUUCUACCUCCAAGAUGAACUGGUUAGUGCUGCAGAAUAUAUGUGUAAUGGACGCUAUUUUAGUGGACAUGAAUAUUUCUUCAGUGUCAGAGGCAGCACAGUGUGACGUCAUGAUGGCAGCAAUUGUGCAAUUACACAUAAAAUAAAGUUGUUGUAGAAGGAAGAGUAAAAAGUUAC
rnacentral:lncRNA from 1 species